rnacentral:rRNA from 1 species
GCAAUGGAGAACUUAAAGGAAUUGACGGGACUCCGCACAAGCGGUGGAUCAUGUUGUUUAAUUCGAAGGUACCCGAAAAACCUCACCAGGUCUUGACAUGCUUCUGCAAAGCUGUAGAAACACAGUGGAGGUUAUCAGUUGCACAGGUGGUGCAUGGUUGUCGUCAGCUCGUGUCGUGAGAUGUUGGGUUAAGUCCCGCAACGAGCGCAACCCUUAUUGUUAGUUACCAGCACGUAAUGGUGGGGACUUUAGCAAGACUGCCAGUGAUGAAUUGGAGGAAGGUGGGGACGACGUCAAAUCAUCAUGCCCCUUAUGACCUGGGCUACAAACGUGAUACAAUGGCUGUUACAAAAGGUAGCUGAAAGAAA